CGUUUCUUUCGCCUCAGGGUUAAAAUGGUUUUCGUGCGGGGCUGGAAUCCUUGAGUUUGGGGAUUGCACGUAGAGCCGGACAGUAAGAUUUUUAUUUUUACUUUUGAAUUACAACUCUGCUUCUGACAGCACUGCCAUACUGGCAGCGGAUUCGUGUUCCUGAGACGGUUUUUCAUCAGGGUAGUCUAAAAUGGAGGUCAUUGAGGAAACUGCUUAAACAAAGAAAUGAAUUUUCCAAAAGCUGCUAUGGCCUCUUCUCUUGGCUUGUCCACGUUGCUGAGGCAGAGCAUUGUUUGUUCCUGUUAUCAUGAAUUUCCCUUCCCCUGUUACAAGCACACGUUGCGCGUGUCAUCCAGCAUCUCCCAGUGCUGCAUGUUUGGACCACUGCUCUCUGUCCUGUCCCUGGUGGAACAGCGGCUCCUUUCCACUGCAGCUUUACUCUGGAGAAGGAGGAGGCAUUCUCCUAGGCUGUCCACUCCACAAACAGCCUCAGUAGAAGUGCUGGUUUACCUGGCCAAGUCUUUACUUGCACUUCAAGACUGUGAGAACGAGAUGUUAAUUUUGACUUCUAACUGGCACCUGCAGGAGUGUGGGAAUAUGUUUUGUCAGGGUGAAAUAAUAAUUGGCAGAUGUGUGACAGUACACCUCGUUGCAGAACUCCAAAGUCCUGCAUGGUCUUCUACAUCAGUAGGCAGUGCAGGCAGAUGCGGUGUGGUUGAGCUGCUUCCUAAUUGCCUGGUGCCUUGGCUCAGGAGAAAAUCUUUGAUCAGUUCUGGAAAGAAGUACUAAAUAGAUGGGAAUAGUGCCACCAGCUGCGGUACUUCAGGAGGAGGAAGACAUCUAUGCUACCCUUCCUCCUUGUAGCCUGCGGUGUAUGAGCAGCAGAGGACUGCAAGAUGAGCACUGAGAACACAGAUGAGAUGCUGAAAAGUUGGUAUUCAUGGCUCCUUCCCAGACUUUUUGAGGUUGGGAAACCUAUGUAUUUCAGGAGUUGGUAGUCCUUUCCUUCUUGGUGAUACCCAGCGAAUUAUAGUAUUGUGUUGUUAUGUUUUGUGUUUGUUUGUUUGUUUUUUGUGUGUGUGGUUGUUUGGUUGUUUGGUUGGUUUUUUUUCCUCCUAUAAGCUUUUUCACUUGUUUCCUCCAGUCCCUAUCCUCUG